rnacentral:rRNA from 1 species
GACGAACGCUGGCGGCGUGCCUAAUACAUGCAAGUCGAACGCUUCUUUUCUACCGAGUGCUUGCACUCACUUGAAAAGAGGAGUGGCGGACGGGUGAGUAACACGUGGGUAACCUGCCCAUCAGAGGGGGGUAACACUUGGAAACAGGUGCUAAUACCGCAUAACAGUCGACACCGCAUGGUGUUGAUUUGAAAGACGCUUUCGGGUGUCACUGAUGGAUGGACCCGCGGUGCAUUAGCUAGUUGGUGAGGCAACGGCUCACCAAGGCCAUGAUGCAUAGCCGACCUGAGAGGGUGAUCGGCCACACUGGGACUGAGACACGGCCCAGACUCCUACGGGAGGCAGCAGUAGGGAAUCUUCGGCAAUGGACGAAAGUCUGACCGAGCAACGCCGCGUGAGUGAAGAAGGUUUUCGGAUCGUAAAACUCUGUUGUUAGAGAAGAACAAGUAGGGGAGUAACUGCUCUUACCUUGACGGUAUCUAACCAGAAAGCCACGGCUAACUACGUGCCAGCCGCCGCAGUAAAAC